rnacentral:rRNA from 1 species
GUAUAGGGGAGCCGCAGGGAAACCGAGUCUUAACCGGGCGUUAAGUUGCAGGGUAUAGACCCGAAACCCGGUGAUCUAGCCAUGGGCAGGUUGAAGGUUGGGUAACACUAACUGGAGGACCGAACCGACUAAUGUUGAAAAAUUAGCGGAUGACCUGUGGCUGGGGGUGAAAGGCCAAUCAAACCGGGAGAUAGCUGGUUCUCCCCGAAAGCUAUUUAGGUAGCGCCUCGUGAAUUCAUCUCCGGGGGUAGAGCACUGUUUCGGCUAGGGGGCCAUCCCGGCUUACCAACCCGAUGCAAACUGCGAAUACCGGAGAAUGUUAUCACGGGAGACACACGGCGGGUGCUAACGUCCGUCGUGAAGAGGGAAACAACCCAGACCGCCAGCUAAGGUCCCAAAGUCAUGGUUAAGUGGGAAACGAUGUGGGAAGGCCCAGACAGCCAGGAUGUUGGCUUAGAAGCAGCCAUCAUUUAAAGAAAGCGUAAUAGCUCACUGGUCGAGUCGGCCUGCGCGGAAGAUGUAACGGGGCUAAACCAUGCACCGAAGCUGCGGCAGCGACACUAUGUGUUGUUGGGUAGGGGAGCGUUCUGUAAGCCUGUGAAGGUGGCCUGUGAGGGUUGCUGGAGGUAUCAGAAGUGCGAAUGCUGACAUAAGUAACGAUAAAGCGGGUGAAAAGCCCGCUCGCCGGAAGACCAAGGGUUCCUGUCCAACGUUAAUCGGGGCAGGGUGAGUCGACCCCUAAGGCGAGGCCGAAAGGCGUAGUCGAUGGGAAACGGGUUAAUAUUCCCGUACUUGGUGUUACUGCGAAGGGGGGACGGAGAAGGCUAUGUUGGCCGGGCGACGGUUGUCCCGGUUUAAGCGUGUAGGUGUGUGUUCCAGGUAAAUCCGGUU